AUUGAACGCUAGCGGGAUGCUUUACACAUGCAAGUCGAACGCGUCGCGGACGGGUGAGUCAUAUAUCUGAACGUGCCCAGUCGCGGGGGAUACCUACUCGAAAGCGUGGCUAAUCCCGCCUACUUUUGGAGCGGCCGUUAUCGGAUUAGCUAUUUGGUGGGGUAAAGGCUCACCAAGGCAACGAUCCGUAGCUGGUUUGAGAGGUCGACCAGCCACACUGGGACUGAGACACGGCCCAGACUCCUACGGGAGGCAGCAGUGGGGAAUUUUGGACAAUGGGGGAAACCCUGAUCCAGCCAUCCCGCGUGUAUGAGAAGGCCUUCGGGUUGUAAAGUACUUUUGGCAGAGAAGCGGUAUCUGAAGAAUAAGCACCGGCUAACUACGUGCCAGCAGCCGCGGUAAUAC
rnacentral:rRNA from 1 species